rnacentral:rRNA from 1 species
GUGAGGAAUCUUCCACAAUGGGGGCAACCCUGAUGGAGCAACGCCGCGUGCAGGAUGAAGGCCUUCGGGUUGUAAACUGCUUUUAUAAGUGAAGAAUAUGACGGUAACUUAUGAAUAAGGAUCGGCUAACUACGUGCCAGCAGCCGCGGUCAUACGUAGGAUCCGAGCGUUAUCCGGAGUGACUGGGCGUAAAGAGUUGCGUAGGCGGUUAGUAAAGCGAAUAGUGAAAUCUGGUGGCUCAACCAUUCAGGCUAUUAUUCGAACUCACUAACUCGAGAGUGGUAGAGGUAACUGGAAUUUCUUGUGUAGGAGUGAAAUCCGUAGAUAUAAGAAGGAACACCAAUGGCGUAGGCAGGUUACUGGACCAUUUCUGACGCUAAGGCACGAAAGCGUGGGGAGCGAACCGGAUUAGAUACCCCUGUAGUCC